rnacentral:rRNA from 1 species
GACGAACGCUGGCGGCGUGCCUAAUACAUGCAAGUCGAGCGCAGGAAACUGACGGAACUCUUCGGAGGGAAGGCAGUGGAAUGAGCGGCGGACGGGUGAGUAACACGUAAGGAACCUGCCUCAAGGAUUGGGAUAACUCCGAGAAAUCGGAGCUAAUACCGGAUAGUUCAACGGACCGCAUGGUCCGCUGAUGAAAGGCGCUCCGGCGUCACCUUGAGAUGGCCUUGCGGUGCAUUAGCUAGUUGGUGGGGUAAAGGCUCACCAAGGCGACGAUGCAUAGCCGACCUGAGAGGGUGAUCGGCCACACUGGGACUGAGACACGGCCCAGACUCCUACGGGAGGCAGCAGUAGGGAAUCUUCCACAAUGGACGAAAGUCUGAUGGAGCAACGCCGCGUGAGUGAUGAAGGUUUUCGGAUCGUAAAACUCUGUUGUAAGGGAAGAACACGUACGAGAGGAAAUGCUCGUACCUUGGCGGUACCUUACGAGAAAGCCACGGCUAACUACGUGCCAGCCGCCGCAGUAA